rnacentral:rRNA from 1 species
UAAAAUUGUAAAAUAAUAUCAAAUUAGAGUAGUAGUAGUUAUAUUCUUAAAACUUAAAAAAUUUGGCGGUAUUUUAUUCUAUUUAGAGGAACUUGUUUUAUAAUUGAUAAUCCUCAAUUUAUCUUACUUAAAUUAUUUUUAAUUUGUAUAUCGUUGUCAUAAGAAUAUCUUAAAAAAGAAAAAAUUUUCUAAAUUAAUAAAAUUUAUAUUAAUUAUGUCAGAUCAAGAUGCAGUUUAUAUUUAAGAAAAAAUGAGUUACAAUUAAUUUAUUAAUAUGAAUUAAAGCUUGAAAUAGUUUUAUGAAGGUGGAUUUAAUAGUAAAUUAGUUAAUUGAGAAUAAUUGAUUAUAGUUCUAAAAUAUGC